AGUUCAUCAAGGUGCACCAGAUGGAAUAGUGAGAAAGAAGAGAGCAAAGACAACAGGAGGAAGAGGAAAAACAGAUGAAAGGUAUUCUGUCAGCCCAGCAGCACCUCUCGUCAGUCACAGACCGGAAGGAUUACCUCCAGGGAAGCCAGUUCAGUAACUCUGGGUGAGACUGCUUCAGGAGCUGGAAAAAUCCAGGAGAGGCCAAAGCAAUGGUUUUCAGUGCUUGAUGUUCAAGACAGCAAAGAUCUCCCCCAAAUGACAAGCACGUGUGCAUGCCUACAACUCUCGGAGAUUGUGCAGGCCUCCUAAAGGUUGAUGCUUUUGUAACAAUUCCAUCAGACUUCACCACAAGAAUUAUCCUAAUGCUAUUCAACAUCAAAGUUUCAUAAGGGCCUGGUUUCUUGGAUUGCCUCCUCUACAUUCAUAUAUGUGAAUUUCUCUUGAAGUGAUAAUGGCUGGUGAUGAAAGCUAUGGGAUGGACUCAAGGUGAUCCUGCUGGCCAAAAAAGUUGCACAGAUGGAGGAAGUUAAAGAGCAGGUUUCAUGAAAUAUA